rnacentral:rRNA from 1 species
AGUGAACGCUGGCGGUAGGCCCAACACAUGCAAGUCGAACGGCAGCACAGAGGAGCUUGCUCCUUGGGUGGCGAGUGGCGGACGGGUGAGGAAUACAUCGGAAUCUACUCUGUCGUGGGGGAUAACGUAGGGAAACUUACGCUAAUACCGCAUACGACCUACGGGUGAAAGCAGGGGAUCUCCGGACCUUGCGCGAUUGAAUGAGCCGAUGUCGGAUUAGCCAGUUGGCGGGGUAAAGGCCCACCAAGGCGACGAUCCGUAGCUGGUCUGAGAGGAUGAUCAGCCACACUGGAAAUGAGACACGGUCCAGACUCCUACGGGAGGCAGCAGUGGGGAAUAUUGGACAAUGGGCGCAAGCCUGAUCCAGCCAUACCGCGUGGGUGAAGAAGGCCUUCGGGUUGUAAAGCCCUUUUGUUGGGAAAGAAAUCCAUCUGGUUAAUACCCGGGUGGGAUGACGGUACCCAAAGAAUAAGCACCGGCUAACUUCGUGCCAGCAGCCGCCGUAA